rnacentral:rRNA from 1 species
UACGGGUAGGGGCAGUCGUUGUCCGGAAUCAUUGGGCGUAAAGAGCGUGUAGGCGGCUCGAUAAGUCUGCUGUGAAAGUCCAGGGCUCAACCCUGGAAGGCCGGUGGAAACUGUCGGGCUAGAGUCCGGAAGAGGCGAGUGGAAUUCCCGGUGUAGCGGUGAAAUGCGCAGAUAUCGGGAGGAACACCAAUGGCGAAGGCAGCUCGCUGGGACGGUACUGACGCUGAGACGCGAAAGCGUGGGGAGCAAACAGG